AUUGAACGCUGGCGGCAUGCUUUACACAUGCAAGUCGAGCGGCAGCGCGGGGGCAACCCUGGCGGCGAGCGGCGAAACGGGUGAGUAAUGCAUCGGAACGUACCCUGGAGUGGGGGAUAACGCCGCGAAAGCGGCGCUAAUACCGCAUAUGCUCUGAGGAGGAAGUGGGGGGACCGCAAGGCCUCACGCUCUGGGAGCGGCCGAUGUCCGAUUAGCUAGUUGGUGAGGUAAAGGCUUUACCAAGGCGACGAUCGGUAGCUGGUCUGAGAGGAUGAUCAGCCACACUGGGACUGAGACACGGCCCAGACUCCUACGGGAGGCAGCAGUGGGGAAUUUUGGGACAAUGGGGGGCAACCCUGAUCCAGCCAUGCCGCGUGAGUGAAGAAGG
rnacentral:rRNA from 1 species